rnacentral:rRNA from 1 species
UGGGGAAUAUUGGACAAUGGGCGCAAGCCUGAUCCAGCAAUGCCGCGUGUGUGAAGAAGGCCUUCGGGUUGUAAAGCACUUUUAUCAGGAGCGAAACGCUGUCGGCUAAUACCCGGCGGAACUGACGGUACCUGAGGAAUAAGCACCGGCUAACUUCGUGCCAGCAGCCGCGGUAAUACGAAGGGUGCAAGCGUUAAUCGGAAUUACUGGGCGUAAAGCGUGCGUAGGCGGUUUCUUAAGUCUGCUGUGAAAUCCCCGGGCUCAACCUGGGAAUGGCAGUGGAUACUGGGAGGCUAGAGUGUGUCAGAGGGUGGUGGAAUUCCCGGUGUAGCGGUGAAAUGCGUAGAGAUCGGGAGGAACAUCAGUGGCGAAGGCGGCCACCUGGGACAACACUGACGCUGAGGCACGAAAGCGUGGGGAGCAAACAGGAUUAGAUACCCUGGUAGUCCACGCCCUAAACGAUGCGAACUGGAUGUUGGUCUCAACUCGGAGAUCAGUGUCGAAGCUAACGCGUUAAGUUCGCCGCCCUGGGGAGUACGGUCGCAAGACUGGAAACUUAAAUGAAUUGACGGGAUCAUAGCUGUUUCC